rnacentral:rRNA from 1 species
GACUAACGCUGGCGGCGUGUCUUAGACAUGUAAGUCGAACGGGUUGCUAUUUUGUAGCAAUACAGAAUAGCGCUAGUGGUGAACGGGUGAGUAAUACAAAAGUAACUUUCCUUAGAGUGAAGAAUAACCUCGAGAAAUCGUGACUAAUUCUUCAUAUUCUCAAUAGACAUAUGUCUAUUGAGGAAAGGCUUCGGCCGCUCUGAGAUAGGCUUUUGGCCUAUCAGUUUGUUGGCGGGUUAACAGCCCACCAAGACUACGACGGGUAGGGGGUGUGAGAGCAUGACCCCCCACAUGGGAACUGCGACACGGUCCCAACUCCUACGGGAGGCAGCAGUCUAGAAAUUUGGGCAAUGGACGAAAGUCUGACCCAGCGACGCCGCGUGAGGGAUGAAGUCUCUCGGGAUGUAAACCUCUGUUGAGGGGAACGAUAAUGACGGUACCCCUCGAGGAAGCCUCGGCUAACUCCGUGCCAGCAGCCGCGGUAAUACGGAGGAGGCAAGCGUUGUCCGGAAUCACUGGGCGUAAAGGGUGUGUAGGUGUCCUGGUGGGUCAAGUGUGAAAUCCAACAGCUUAACUGUUGAAGUGCACAUGAAACUAUCGGGAUUGAGGACAUGAGGGGAGAGCGGAACUCGCGGUGUAGCGGUAGAAUGCGUGGAUAUCGCGAGGAAUGCCGAUGGCGAAGGCGGCUCUCUAGUAUGUUUCUCGUAUGAGAAGCUGAAUAAUUUUAAUCUUCGGGUUUUGAUUAAUCGGUCCUGACACUGAAACACGAAAGCUGGGGGAGCGAACGGGAUUAGAUACCCCGGUAGUCCCAGCCCUAAACGAUGUACACUUGGCAUGCGCUGUAUUGUGCGUGCCGUAGGUAACCUGUUAAGUGUACCGCCUGGGGAGUACGCUCGCAAGGGUG